GUCUAUGGCCAUGACGCCCUGAACAAGCCCAAUGUCUGAUCUCGGAAGCUAAGCAGGGUCAGGCCUGGUUAGUUCUUGGAUGGGAGACCACCUAGGUAAACCAGGUGCUGUAGGCA
rnacentral:rRNA from 1 species